ACCUAUGGCCAUGCCACCCUGAACAAGCCCAAACCUGUCUGAUCUCUGAAGCUAAGCAGAGUUGGACUUGGUUAGUACUUGGAUGGGAGAUCUCCUAGGAAGACCAGGUGCUGUAGGCU
ensembl:rRNA 5S_rRNA 5S ribosomal RNA